rnacentral:lncRNA from 1 species
CUACUGAUCCCAUCCACCUGCCUGUUUUCUGCAAAACCAAGUAGAAAGUCAGUCAGUUGGGUGAUGUGAUGACUUUUGCAGGCCAGGAAAUGAGCUGUGGUAUUAGACUGCCUGGUGUCUCAGCUCAAAGGCAUCUCUAUCUCCGGCUGAAAAUCAGGGUUGAACAAAGGAGCAGCCUGAGAAAGAGGCACAAUCAUGAUGUUUGAAAAACUCCAGACUCUGUAGUUCAGAACAGUCACAUUCUGCAGUGCAAGGAGAGCAGGAAUAGAAGGUAAGGAAGGAUAUGGAAGGAAGAGGAUAUGGAUGGAUUUCUGCUCUUCAUGCUAUCUGGCUUCUUCUGAGUCUCUGUAAAAUCUCCGUGUGAAGUGGAUGUCUGGAGUGGCUCCAGACCAUGGUGAAAGGAUGGCUGGGCCCCAUCUGCCCCCCUUCACUGCUGCCCUGGGACUGGCAUUGCUUGGUGUCCUGGUCUUCCUCUCAGCCCUGUGUGCUGCCUGCAGAAGGAAAGCUAGGAAGAAGGUGGUCCCACCAGAUGGGGUGAAGCUGGUAGAUGUGUCGUUGCUGAGGCAGACGCAGCUCCGAUCGCUCAGUAAAUCUGACACCAAACUGCAUGAACUCCACAGGGUGAAGUGCACUUCUGAGCACCAAAGACCAGCCAGCGUGGAUUUCCUUUAUCCAUCAGGGUCUUUGGGGGAUGGAGAAGGAGCUGUGCAUAGCUCGAGCUUCAGCAUCCUGCUGCACCGAGAGCUGCCCCAGAUCCCCCAUUCCAACCCUUCGGCUGAUGCCCUGAGUCCUGACCAGACCUACUCAAACCUGUCCUUCUUAGCCCCACUAAAACCAGCCCCGGAGGCGCUGUAUGAGUGUGCGGCCAUGACUCAGGAAGAGCCUCAGCCAAUGCCUGUCUUGGGAACCCCUCUAAGUGAGGAGGACAAGGCAGUGACGGCUGAGUACGCCUGUGUCCGCAAGGUGAAGAAGAAUUUCCAGCCAGAGCUCCAGGAUGAGACACAGGGCGAAUCCUCCGUGGGGACGGCAGACCCAGAAGCCUGGGAAGGAGCUGCCUGUAACCCUGCAGCGGUGAAGGUGUGCCACCCUCCCAGCCAUACUGGUAGAAGAAAUGUACUCGACUGUGUGCAAAGCUGGCAAGAAGAAGAAACACCAAGGCUCUGCUCUGUCCCCUUCUGAAGGAAUGGACACUAGGGAGACAGGCCAAGGAGAACAGGGGUGGCCAGCUGCCCAUCUCAGAGAUGUCAGGGCGGGGUAUCAGUCCACACCGGGUCGAGUCUUACUCACUGAGCCCUGCUAUGAGUCGAUCAGUGAUGGAUCCUGGACUGAGCAUGGCAGGAACCCAGUCCCAGAACCGGCCUACGAGGCAGUAGAUGUCAACUGGAAAAAGCCCAAGAGAAGGGAUAAGUCUACCAAGAACUGCCCUGCCGAGAACUUGUAUGAAAGCAUCAGUGAAAUGUGGGAAGGGGACUCUAGGAACACAGCUACCCUGGCGGCUCCCAAUGGGUUGGAGAUAUACGUAACAGACUGAUAACCCCUUAUGUCUAGCUGCCCCCUUCCUGGGAAGGUCUGUGCUCCUCCACUGAGACCUCCAGCUGUCUCAGGUCUCAGCCACAUGGCGAGGCACAACAAGAACAUCCAACACCACAACAGUAAAUACUAAAAACAUCAACCCGCUCUAAACCCUCCUGCCUCAGGUCUCAGGCCAGCCUGUCACUAACAGGAGUUAAACUUUCCCUGCGGGCUGGGUAUCCCAAUGCUCCUUCUGCAGAACGCCUCACACCUUCCUCUGAAGCAGCUGGUGCUGGGUGUUGUCCGAGGCAGUUCACUGGACUCGGUGGACCUAUGGUGGCCUGAACUACAGGCAAAAGAAUUGAGUAAUUCUAAUGGGUUUGGCAUUGGUUGAGGGUUGUGCCCAUUCUAGGGGGCACAGACACCCAGAUCAGGUGCCUCUCUUCCCUGAGUCUUUAUGCAGGGUCCAGUAAAGCUGGGCACAGAAACCUAGGUAAGGAAAGGGGCAGCUGAGUUAAUAAAGAGGAAUCUCCCGUAUGUAUUUUAAUCCUG